rnacentral:rRNA from 1 species
UACAGAGGGGGCAAGCGUUGUUCGGAAUUACUGGGCGUAAAGGGCGCGUAGGCGGCCUUCUAAGUCGAACGUGAAAUCCCCGGGCUCAACCCGGGAACUGCGUCCGAUACUGGAAGGCUUGAAUCCGGGAGAGGGAUGCGGAAUUCCAGGUGUAGCGGUGAAAUGCGUAGAUAUCUGGAGGAACACCGGUGGCGAAGGCGGCAUCCUGGACCGGUACUGACGCUGAGGCACGAAAGCGUGGGGAG